GGAUUAGAUACCCUGGUAGUCCACGCCGUAAACGAUGAUAACUAGCCGUUGGAUUUAUUCCAGUGGCGCAGCUAACGCAUUAAGUUAUCCGCCUGGGGAGUACGGCCGCAAGGCUAAAACUCAAAUGAAUUGACGGGGACCCGCACAAGCGGUGGAGCAUGUGGUUUAAUUCGAUGCAACGCGAAAAACCUUACCUACACUUGACAUACUUCGAAUCUUUUAGAGAUAAAAGAGUGCCUUCGGGAAUGAAGAUACAGGUGCUGCAUGGCUGUCGUCAGCUCGUGUUG
rnacentral:rRNA from 1 species